UCGGGAAUUUUGCGCAAUGGAGGAAACUCUGACGCAGUGACGCCGCGUGCAGGAAGAAGGUUUUCGGAUUGUAAACUGCUUUAGACAGGGAAGAAAAAGGACAGUACCUGUAGAAUAAGCUCCGACUAACUACGUGCCAGCAGCCGCGGUAAUACGUAGGGAGCAAGCGUUAUCCGGAUUUAUUGGGUGUAAAGGGUGCGUAGACUGGAAAAUAAGUUAGUUGUGAAAUCCCUCGGCUUAACUGAGGAACUGCAACUAAAACUGUUUUCUUGAGUACUGGAGAGGAAAGUGGAAUUCCUAGUGUAGCGGUGAAAUGCGUAGAUAUUAGGAGGAACACCAGUGGCGAAGGCGGCCUGCUGGACUGUAACUGACGCUGAGGCUCGAAAGCGUGGG
rnacentral:rRNA from 1 species